AUUAUGUCCAAAAUGUUCCUGGUCGUUGGAUUGUCGGAGGGAUACUGACAAUGCUUAGACCGGUACAUACCUUGUCCGCUUCAAUUGGAAGGAUGGAAAGUCUCAACCCAUUCGUGUUGUGACACUAAGACAAGUAUGUAGGUGCUCAUUAAGGGAAUGAGUUCACUGAAAACAAUCGAAUCAGAGUACUUGCAUGGAGGUCUACUCACAUGUCAAGCAAGUAACUCAAAUGGUUGGAAUAAUGUAAGUAAUCCUUUGACCUGAGGCAUCGUUGUUGUCUUGUGGUUAAGUACUUAAUCUUUGAUUAUGUCAACGUCACUCU
rnacentral:lncRNA from 1 species